UACAGAGGGUGCGAGCGUUGUCCGGAAUCACUGGGCGUAAAGGGCGCGUAGGCGGCCUGAUAAGUAGGGGGUGAAAUCUUGCGGCUUAACCGCAAGGCUGCCUUCUAAACUGUCAGGCUAGAGCACAGUAGAGGCAGGUGGAAUUCCCGGUGUAGCGGUGGAAUGCGUAGAGAUCGGGAAGAACAUCAGUGGCGAAGGCGGCCUGCUGGGCUGUUGCUGACGCUGAGGCGCGACAGCGUGGGGAGCAAACAGG
rnacentral:rRNA from 1 species